AUACUUACCUAGAUGGGGUCAAUGGGUGAUCAAGAAUGCCUAUGGCCUAGGGGAGUGACCUCCAUUGCACUUAGGAGGGGUGUUUCUCUAAGGUCUGCCCAAGUGGCAGAGUCUACAUCAUAAUUUGUGGUAAUAGGGGCUUGCGUUCGCGCAGUCCCUUC
rfam:Cajanus cajan Scaffold137139_1, whole genome shotgun sequence.